rnacentral:rRNA from 1 species
GAAGGUUACAUGCCAAGUCGAGGGGGCAUCGGGAGGGAAGCUUGCUUUCCUUGCCGGCGACCGGCGCACGGGUGAGUCAUUCGUAUGCAACCUGCCCUCUUCAGGGGGACAACCUUCCGCCUGGGAGGCUAAUCCCGCGUAUAUCGGUUUCGGGCAUCCGAGAUCGAGGAAAGAUUCAUCGGAAGAGGAUGGGCAUGCGGCGCAUUAGCUUGACGGCGGGGUAACGGCCCACCGUGGCGACGAUGCGUAGGGGUUCUGAGAGGAAGGUCCCCCACACUGGUACUGAGACACGGACCAGACUCCUACGGGAGGCAGCAGUGAGGAAUAUUGGUCAAUGGGAGAGAUCCUGAACCAGCCAAGCCGCGUGAGGGAAGACGGCCCUAUGGGUUGUAAACCUCUUUUGUCGGAGAACAAAACCCGGGACGUGUCCCGGACUGCGUGUAUCCGAAGAGAAAGCAUCGGCUAACUCCGUGCCAGCAGCCGCGGUAAUACGGAGGAUGCGAGCGUUAUCCGGAUUUAUUGGGUUUAAAGGGUGCGUAGGCGGUCCGUUAAGUCAGCGGUAAAAUUGCGGGGCUCAACCCCGUCGAGCCGUUGAAACUGGCAGACUUGAGUUGGCGAGAAGUACGCGGAAUGCGCGGUGUAGCGGUGAAAUGCAUAGAUAUCGCGCAGAACUCCGAUUGCGAAGGCAGCGUACCGGCGCCAGACUGACGCUGAGGCACGAAAGCGUGGGGAUCGAACAGGAUUAAAUUC